rnacentral:rRNA from 1 species
UACAGAGGUCUCAAGCGUUGUUCGGAUUCAUUGGGCGUAAAGGGUGCGUAGGUGGCGGGGUAAGUCAGGUGUGAAAUCUCGAGGCUCAACCUCGAAACUGCACUUGAUACUGCCUUGCUGGAGUACUGGAGAGGAGAUUGGAAUUUACGGUGUAGCAGUGAAAUGCGUAGAUAUCGUAAGGAAGACCAGUGGCGAAGGCGGGUCUCUGGACAGUUCCUGACGCUGAGGCACGAAGGUCAGGGGAGCAAACGGG